rfam:Physcomitrella patens subsp. patens PHYPAscaffold_40 genomic scaffold, whole genome shotgun sequence.
UAAGAGGCUUUUAUAAAAGCCAUAUUAAAUUAUUUUGAAUUAUUG